UACGGAGGGUGCAAGCGUUACUCGGAAUCACUGGGCGUAAGGAGCGCGUAGGCGGGAAAGUAAGUCAGAUGUGAAAUCCUGUGGUUUAACCACAGAACUGCAUUUGAAACUAUUUUUCUAGAGUAUGGGAGAGGUAGGUGGAAUUCUUGGUGUAGGGGUAAAAUCCGUAGAGAUCAAGAGGAAUACUCAUUGCGAAGGCGACCUGCUGGAACAUAACUGACGCUGAUGCGCGAGAGCGUGGGGAGCAAACAGG
rnacentral:misc_RNA from 1 species